AUGGUUAGAAACUGUUGAUCCUCGGAAUCAUAAAAGCUAAAAUGCAAGACAAAGGAAGGUUUUGGAAAGUGUGAGAACUGUGUUCUCGUGCAUGAGCCUUUGUCUUAAUGCCAAAGCAGUUACAGAGGGCUACAGCCGGCAGCCAGGAGGCAGCGGGAGUUGCUGGGGCCUCGCUGGCUUCGCGCCAUCGCAGGAAGUGGAACCCUGGCAGAAGACACACAUAGGGCAGACAGCAUAGGACAGAACAGCAGAGCACGGUGCAGCUGAGGAAAAACUCAGCAGAGAGUCUGCCUUCCAUGCUCAAGUCUUCAACAUGGUUGUCUGCAGAGAUGGGACUCUCAGUGAACUCACCAGCUGCUUCUUGCCUCUGCUGUUUCAGAUCCAGGGCUUUAAAAUGCCUGGGAAUCAAUCUAACAAAAGGAGUGAAAAUCAUCUACAAUGAAAACUACAGAACAUUAAAGAAAGAAAUUUAAGAAAACCUCAUAAGAUGGAAAGAUCUCCCAUGCUCCUGGAUAGGCGGAAUUAAUAUUGUCAAAAUGGCCAUACUACUAAAAGUGUUAUACAGAUUUAAUGCACUUCCUAUUAAAAUUCCAAUGACAUUCUUCAUCGAAUUAGAAAAAGCAAUCAUUACAUUUAUUUGGAAAACUAAGAGAUCCAGAAUAGCUAAAGCAAUCCUUAGCAAGAAGUGAAGCAGGAAGCUUCAUUGCCAGACCUUAAACUAUACUACAGAGCUAUACUAACAAAAACAGCAUAGUAUUGGCACCAAAAUAGACUUGUAGACCAAUGGUACAGAAUAGAGGACACAGAGACAUACCCAAGUAAAUAUGGUUAUGUCAUACUAGACAAAGGUGCCAAAAACAUUCACUGGAGAAAAGAUAGUCUAUUCAAUAAAUGGUACUGGCAAAACUGGAAAUCCAUAUGUAGCAAAAUGAAAUUAAACCUCUAUCCCUCACCCUGCACAAAAAUCAACUCAAAGUGGAUCAAAGACUUAGGUACUAAAACAGAGACCUUGCACAUAUCAGAAGAAAAAAUAGGCCCAAAUCGUCACCACAUCAGCCUAGGAUCUGACUUCCUUAACAAGACUCCUAAAGCACAAGAAGUAAAAUCAAGAAUUAUUAAAUGGGAUGGAUUCAAAUUAAAGAGCUUUUCCUCAGCAAAGGAAACAAUAAAGUGAGGGAAGCGCUUACAGAUUGGGAGAAAAUCUUUACCACAUCCACCUCCAAUAAAGCAUUAAUCUCUAGGAUAUAUAAACAACUCAAAAUUUUUAGCACCAAAAAAAUAAUAAUAAUAACCCAAUCAAUAAAUGGGCUAAGGAACUGAAUGGUCACUUUACAGAAGAAGAAAUACAAAUGAACAAUAAAUGUAUGGAAAAGUGUUCAGCAUCUCUAGUACUUAGAGAAAUGCAAAUCAAAACUACUCUAAGAUUUCAUCUCACUCCUAUUAGAAUGGCAAACAUCAAGAAUACAGGCAACAAUAAAUGUUGCCGAGGAUGUGGGGGAAAAAGGUACACUUAUACAUUACUGGUGGGACUGCAAAUUAGUGCAACCACUAUGGAAAGUGGAGAUUCCUCAAAAAAUUGUGACUGGAACCACCAUUUAACCCAGCUAUCCCAUUCCUUGGUUUAUACCCAAAGGACUUAAAAUUAGCAUACUAUAGUGACUCAGCCACAUCAAUGCUUACAGCAGCUCAAUUCACAAUAGCUAGACUAUGGAACCAACCUAGGUGUCCCUGAAUAGAUGAAUGAAUAAAGAAAAUAUGGCAUAUAUACUCAACAUAUACUCAGCUUUAAAGAAGAGUAAAAAUACAGAAUUUGCCAGUAAAUGGUUGGAGUUGGAGAAUAUCAUGCUAAGCGAAAUAAGCCAAUCCCAAAAAACCAAAGGCAGAAUGUUUUCUCUAAUAUGCGGAUGCUAAUUCACAAUAAGGCAGGGGUCACUAGGGAAGAAUAUUGUUACCUUAGAUUAGGCAGAGGGAAGUGAUGAGAGGGGAGGGGUGGGGAUGUAAGGAUAGGAAAGAUAUUAGAAUGAAACAGACAUUAUUACUGUUUGUAUAUAUGUGACUGCAUGCCCAAUAUGGUUCUGCAACAUGUACACUCAGAAAAAUGAUGUUAUAUCCUAUCCAUGUAUAUCAAAGUGCAUAAAUGCAUUCUAUUGUCAUGUAAAACUAAU